GAUGAAGAACGCAGUGAAAUGCGAUAAGUAAUGUGAAUUGCAGAAUUCAGUGAAUCAUCGAAUCUUUGAACGCACAUUGCGCCCGCCAGUAUUCUGGCGGGCAUGCCUGUUCGAGCGUCAUUUCAACCAUCAAGCCCCCGGCUUGUGUUGGGGACCUGCGGCUGCCGCAGGCCCUGAAAACCAGUGGCGGGCUCGCUAGUCACUCCGAGCGUAGUAAUACAUCUCGCUCAGGGCGUGCUGCGGGUUCCGGCCGUUAAAAAGCCUUAUUUACCCAAGGUUGACCUCGGAUCAGGUAGGAAGACCCGCUGAACUUAAGCAUAUCAAUAAGCGAGGA
rnacentral:misc_RNA from 1 species